rnacentral:lncRNA from 1 species
AUACCUGCACUGAAGCAACAGUCAUCUUUAAGCCAAAUAGGCGGAGAGAAAUGACUUCUUCAAAGUAUUCAGACAGGGUCUCACUCCGUCACCCAGGCUGGAGUACAGUGGCACAAUCUCGGUUCUCUGCAACCUCCAUCGCCCAGGCUCAAGUGAUCCCCCCACCUCAACCUCCCAAGUAGCUGGGAUUACAAGCCUGCACCUCUAUGCCCAGCUAAUUUUUGUGUUUUUAGUAGAGACAAGGUUUUGCCAUGUUGGCCAGGCUGGUCUCGAACUCCUGACCUCAGGUGAUCCAAAAGCCUUGGCCUCCCCAAGUGCUGGGAUUACAGGCUUGAGCCACCACACCUGGCCAAUUAUUUUAUUAAGCCAGAUGAAUCUAGCUCUGGACAGUUAUAAGCAAAGAAAAACUAACGGAAAAAUACAGAGGCCUGAAGAAUCACAGAGGGAAACUCAUUUGUUCCUCUGGCAGCUCUCCCCAAGGACACCUGUGAGACAAAGUCAGAAGUGGCUUCCCUGGUGACCCAGAGAGACCACAGGGCUCUUGCCGCUGCUUCCUCUACUCCCGUAUUUUGCCGAGCUCUCUAAAUUGUCUCAGCUCUAGCCUGAAUCUAUGGUUUCAUGGAGAGCUCCCUAAAAUCUGUUGACAGAGGAAGAGAAGACUUGAACCUGGUUUACAGAUGGUACUGCACAAUAUGCAGGAACCACAUGAAAGCAGGCAGUUGAAGCACUGCAGCCUCUCUCUGGGACAUCUCCUAAGAAAAAUGAGGGAGCAUCCUCCCAUCCUCCAGCUUCAUUCCAUUGUGGCCGGAGAAGAUACUCUGUAUGAUAUCUACCUAAAAUCUGUAGAGGCUUGUUUUGUGUUCUAAAAUGUGGUUUAUCCUAGAGAAUAUUCCAUUUGCUUCUGAGAGAAUUGUGUAUCUGCUAUUGUACUAUGAAUGUUUGAUAUAUGUCUAUUAGAUCUGAUUGGUUUAUACUGUUAGUCAAGUUCACUAACUCUUCCCCAACCUACUAUCUAUUCAUUAUGAAAAAUAGGGCGUUGAAGUUUCCAAUUAUUAUAACUCUCUUUUCUGCCUUCAAAUUUGUCAAUGUUUACUUUAUGUAUCUUGUGACUCUGAAGUUUGGUGCAAAUAUAUUUAUAAUUGUUAUAUUUUCUUACUAUAGUGACUCUUACAAUAUACAAUGUAUUUAUUUGAUCUUGCAAUAGAUCUUGCCUUAAAUCUAUUUUGGCUGAGAUUAAUAUAGUACUCUAGUUCUCUGUUGGUUGCUAUUUUCAUGACUUUUUUUUUAUUCUUUCACUUUCCACCUAUUUGUAGUUAUAAUCUAAAGUGAAUCUUGUAGACAGCAUACGGUUGGAUCAUGUUUUAAUGUAACUCAAUUCUGCCAAUUUCUGACUUUUGAUUUAAGAGUUUAAUUCAUUUCCAAAAAUAUAAUGUUAAGGAAAGAUUUAUUUCUGCUGUUUUGCUAUUUAUUUUCUCUGUGUGUUAUACCUUUUUUGUUUCUCAUUGUCUCCAAUACGUUUUUAUGUUUAGUUGAUUUUGUUAAAUGUAUCAUUUGUUAUCUUCUCAUUUCCUUUUGAGUGCAUUUUUCAGAUAUUUUCCUAAUGGUUACCAUGGGAAUCACAAUUAACAUCUUACAUUUAUAACAAUCCAGAUUCAAUUGAGACCAACUUAGCUUCAUUAGCAAACAUUUUGCUUCUAAUAAGAUCUGCUCCUCCAUUAUGUUGAUGUCACAAAUCAUGUAUUUUGUAUUGUAUGCCCAAUAUAAUUAUUUUUUAUGGAUUUUUCUUUUAUAUUAUUAAAGAGAUAAAAAGUUCAAUUAUAAACCAAA